AUUGAACGCUGGCGGCAGGCCUAACACAUGCAAGUCGAGCGAGCGGCGGACGGGUGCGUAAUGUAUGGGGACUGCCCGAUAGCGGGGGAUAACUACUGGAAACGGUAGCUAAUACCGCAUACUAUCGGAUAACCCAUUUGGGCUUAGCUAGUAGGUGAGGUAAUGGCUCACCUAGGCGACGAUCCCUCGCUGGUCUGAGAGGAUGAUCAGCCACAGAGGGAAUGAGACACGGCCCAGUAUCCUGCGGUGGGAGCAGGGGGGAAUACUGGACAAGAGGAGCAAGCCUGAUGCGGCCAGGCCGAGCGUAGGAAGAAGGCAUUAGGGUAGUAAAGGACUUUCAGUCGGGAGGAGUGACUGACAGAAGAAACAACGGCUAACUCCGUGCAAGCAGCCACGGUAAUAC
rnacentral:rRNA from 1 species